UGCCAGCCGCCGCGGUAAUACGGAGGGGGUUAGCGUUGUUCGGAAUUACUGGGCGUAAAGCGCACGUAGGCGGAUUAGUAAGUUAGGGGUGAAAUCCCGGGGCUCAACCCCGGAACUGCCUCUAAUACUGCUAGUCUUGAGUUCGAGAGAGGUGAGUGGAAUUCCGAGUGUAGAGGUGAAAUUCGUAGAUAUUCGGAGGAACACCAGUGGCGAAGGCGCUGGCCUGGACGGCAUCUGACGCUGAGGUGCGAAAGCGUGGGGAGCAAACAGGAUUAGAUA
rnacentral:rRNA from 1 species